rnacentral:rRNA from 1 species
AGAGGGAAGCGAAGCUGCGAGGUGGAGCGAAUCUCAUAAAGUACGUCUAAGUCCGGAUUGGAGUCUGCAACUCGACUCCAUGAAGUCGGAAUCGCUAGUAAUCGCGAAUCAGAAUGUCGCGGUGAAUACGUUCCCGGGCCUUGUACACACCGCCCGUCACACCAUGGGAGUGGGUUGUACCAGAAGUAGAUAGCUUAACCUUUUGGAGGGCGUUUACCACGGUAUGAUUCAUGACUGGGGUGAAGUCGUAACAAGGUAACCGUAGGGGAACCUGCGGUUGGAUCACCUCCUUACCC